rnacentral:misc_RNA from 1 species
UCUCCGUAGGUGAACCUGCGGAGGGAUCAUUACCAGAGAUGGCGGGCGCCCACGCCCCCGUCCCCAACCCUUUGUCGACCAAACCACUUUUGCCUCGGGGGCAGAGCGGCCUCCGCCGCCCCCGGUGGACCAUUCAACCCUGUCUCUGUACGUCGGAGUCUUUGAUGAAUACAUGAAAACUUUUAACAACGGAUCUCUUGGUUCUGGCAUCGAUGAAGAACGCAGC